ACCAUAUUUGUGUAUUUUUCUGUUAUUUGUUUUUAUUUGGCAUCAAUUAUAUUAAUUAUCGAAAGUUGGCAUGGAACCUCUCAGACCAGUGAAUCUU